rnacentral:lncRNA from 1 species
AGGCGUCUCUGUCCCGCGGACGCCGCAGCCGUGCGGCGGAAUCCCUCCUUCCUAGCCGGUUGCAUUUCGUGCCUCUUUGAAAUGCCACAUUCGCUUCCAGCUUAAGUGUCUUGAGAUUGUCGCGGUGUCUGCAGCUGCGGCUUCUCCAGCGCCCUCCGGAGGCUUUGCUUCGGGUUUGUCUAAUACAACACAGGGGGAAAUCAUUUGAUCGUGGACGUUUCACGUUUCUUUGUCUUCAAAAAUGAAGAGGACAUUUUGUAAAAUUAUCACACAAAGAUGAGAAAUAGAUUAGAGAACCAACUUUGGGUUGUAAAUACUAAAGAAUUCCAAAUGGUAAUGUAUGAAUGGCUAAAAAGCAGUGACACUUAUCUAACGCGUUAUUACUUUAUUCCAUAAAAGGAACAAACCUAAAUUGAAGGAAUAUUCAUUUCCCCCUUAUUGGAUUUAAUAGAACCCUUUUCAUUUUUAAUGGGAAAUAAUCAAUGUGACCUAUAGAUGUUUCAAUUUUUUUUUUAAAUAAAUAAACCUCUUUAGGGUGAUUUCUGGUGGGAUUGAGGAAAAUGAACGGGUUUAGGGUUAUCUUGGCCCAAAGUCUAUCUUGGAUUUGCCGCUAGUUCACUGUGUGACUGCGUCAGGAAACAAGCUCUGAAAAAUUUCGUUUUCUCCAAUAAAGUAUGUGAAAUUACCUAGCAUGUAGUAGCCUUCAAGAUUUUUGUAUUUCCUCUUUUUUGAUACUUAGCUGAGCAAUAAAUAUUGGACAGCAGCACCAGGGAAGAAUCUGAAUCAGGCAGGGAGGAUGAGCACUGCCCAGGAGGAAAAAGCGAAAAGGAAAGUGUGCUGAGCAGGUGCCUUGGCGGGGGAGAGAGGAAAAGGAAAUGACUUCACACACACACACACACACACGCGCACACACACACAGAGAGAAUGAAGUUUCUUUCUGUCUCUUAAGUGAUGUGUGAGUGGAUGGACAGAUUGCCCUCAGCUUUAAGGGCAGUUCAGGAUGAUCUGUCUUAAGAUCGAUGCUCUGUGGAAUGAGAAAAAUGCGCUCUGCAGGGCAUGCCCACUGCAUGUGCUGGGAGGCUCUCCUACAUCCAAUGGGCAGAUGCGCAGUCUCCACGGAGGCCUCAGGCCUCGGUGUGAGCCAGGGCUGCUUCAAACAUGUCGGCUAUCUAAAGUAAGUCCCAGCAGGGGUCAUUUAUUUAAGGACCGUGGUGCUUUCCAUGGCUGAUUUGCUGGUAAAUGACAGGUGUGAGUGUAGUGAACAUGUCUUGCCUCCACCUACUUCACCCACCAUCCUGUGCAUCAUGGAAACCUGUCUCGAUGAUCAGCAGCCAUGUGUGGUGGGGUGGAAAGGACAGUCUCCAGAGACAGAAUCCUGGGACCAUCCCUGACUUUGCAACUUACUAGCUUUCUUGCCACACUAUUUAGUUUUUUCAAGCUGUAAUUUCCUUAAAAUGGGGAAUAUGAUCAAUCUCUAUCCCACAGAAAAUUUGGAGCACAUGAGUUCAUUCAAGUAAAGUAUACCAUUAGCAGGCCAUAACACAGGCACGAAGAAGGAAAUACAAUAAUUUGUGCGUGUGUGUGGUGGGUUAAGUGUCACAUCUUCAUAAAAUUCAACCCUACCCCCAUUUCAGUCACUUGUCAGAGAGGAAAGCCAAGAAGCCAAUUCCAAGAGUUUAGUGUGACAUCAGUGUCUAGGUCAUCUAAAUCUGGCCAUCUUUCUGCCAUACCUAUCUAAGUCCUGUGGCAAUUAACACAGUAGAGCUAUAUUUGCAUAAGUAACUUUAUAGUCUCUGUGUAUAUGCUGAGCAGAGCUGAUUCAUUUUACAAUCAUUUGCACUUGUCAUAGAGCUCCUUCAAUACUACUACCCAAACAUGUUGGACAAAGAAAAGAAGAUAGACACUUUUGUUUUGUUGCUUGUUUUCUACUGAUUUUGUAAUACUGUAUUUUCAACUUCUUAGCGACAUUGGCCCCAUGUUAAAGGCCUAUGUCACACAGCCUGUUGUGAAUAAGAAGUUUUUUUUAACAGUUGCCCUUGCAAUAAUAAACUUCUAUUUGCAUUGAAAGCAAUGUUAUUGCCCUUUCCAUAUAAAAUUGUACUCAUAGAUCAUUUUAAAGUAACACAUUUUUUUUUCUUAAAGAGAUGAAAUUGGAAAAUAAAGUGGUAAUAGUGUGUUUAAUUUGUAAGUAAACCCUAGGAACACAAUUCAUUUUACUUUGUUAUUAUCACAAAACAGUAAAAAUUUAUCUUGUUUUUAACAGAUUCCGAUUAUUAACAAAUCCGAUUUGUAUCCUAUUUAUGUAUUUGUCACAUACGUGAAAGUCGUCUUUUUCUUCUUGCUAGAGACCUAAACUGUGAUGAUCAAAUUGAACAGUAUAAACAAGCAAUUAGAUGAUUAAUUUGCUACAACCUACUCCGAAAUAUGAGACAUUUUAUCCACUUAUGUAUAUUCAAGGCCAAGGUUAUCAAUAAAAUACAGGCAGAAGUUAUGCCGAAUGAAAAAUAAGACAUACACCUGUGUAAUCGUCAAGUCUGUUUUUUUCUUAUUUUCUCACAUCAUUCAAGUCAUCAAAAUUUUAUUGCUUAUUACAUGACAAGAAAUACAAUGUUAGACAUGAAAUGAAUAAAGAAAAUUCUCUAUCAAGAAAUUUACAAUGUGGAGAAAAAGAUGCAGUAAUAUAACAUUAUAAUACAAUAUAAUCCAAUGCAUAUCAUAUACUGCAAUGAAUUCUAUGAAAGAUUUGUUAACAAAGUGCUUGGGGAAAACAGAGGAGGUAUAGUGACUCCUGAUCCUGGCUUCUGGAGAAGACCAGAAAAUAUUAGAGAGGAUGAAGCAUAUUUACUGACCUUGAGGAACAAGGAGGAUACAUUCUGUGGGAAAGAGGUGGGCUGGGCACAGUGACUCACAUGUGUAAUCUGAGCACUUUGGGAGGCCAAGGCAGGAGGAUCGCUUGCACCCAGGAGUUUGAGGCUACAGUGAGUUAUGAUCACACCACUGCACUCCAGCCUGGCCAGUAGAGCAAGGCCCUGUCAUUACCAAAAAAAAAAAAGUUGGGCAUUCCACAUAGACCACAUGCAAAGGCAGAGGAGGAACAGAGUUUUGGGAGAUAAAGAGGAUUUGGAAGGAACAUAGAAUGUAUGACAAAAAUUAGUGAGAUGAGAAUUUGGAACAAAACUUGGAGGCACCUUGUCAGAAAUUCAGACGUUAUCAUGGAGGCUUUAGAGAGCCAUUACCUAAAUUUGAACAGGGCUGUGGUGAUACUUUUUUCUAAAAAAAACAACACAACAAAAUUGAGAGCACUUGGGAGGAAGAAUUUGGAAAUGGCAGAAUCACCAUAAAGGUGGAAAAUAUUUACUUUUGACUAAAUUGCUAAAUUGAGGCAUGUUAAAUAGAGAAUUCAUGAGUGUGUUUUUAAAAGAGCCUAAGCUUCUUGAAUUAUUAUUCACUUUAGUUAGAAUCACUGCAGUUCUAUGCAUAAAAUUAAGACAAAAAGACAAAACAGAUACAUUGAAAGUUAAGAAAACUGAACAAGUAGAUUAGUCUAUUCUUCCAGUGUCUUGUGGACUUCUCAGGAUGAUAAAGAAAUUCUACUAUGUCACUGUUAGUGCACAAUAUAUAAUAUACUAAUGAUUUUUUUUCACCAAGAACAAUGGUAUUUAAUUGUAAAAUCUCCACCCCCUGAGGAUAUGUUUUCAGGUCUGGGUGAUUAAUUAGACUGGGAAACAAAGGAGGGAACGACGGCCCUGUGCUUCCUCCGCCGGCUGCCUCUGUGGAUGCGUGGGCCGCUGGCUUCAGUCCUGCUUUUCUUUCUGAUGGCCCUUGUUGUUUACGCUAAGUAUUUUUGCAGGACGCCUGAGGUGGGCUGGGGUCACUCUGUGUUCUCCUCCCGUGGCAGGGCUUCACUCUCCUCCCCGUUCUCUGUUGGGGUUUCGCUGUCCUCAUCAGAUGGGGAUCUCAUCCUCAUUAGAUGACUUCUUGUGCAGCUUCCAUGCCUGGUUAUUUACUCUUGUGGCACUGAGAGGUUUGUACAUAUCUUUAAGCCAGAGUGGCUGUCUGAAUGAGAAAGAUUCAUCCUGAGUCUCACUUCGUGAAGAGCAUCUCCUCUGUGGCAGAAAUCUGAAAAUGCCCCUUGAGAAUCCUUCUCCAUCUUCUUGUGAUGACCAUCGGUGAGAAUAAAUCUCAAUGAGGCAAAAAAUUAUAAUCAAAGUCGUUAGUAUUUCGGUCACAAAUAUUGCCAAGAUGAGUUUGUUGUUAUAGCCAUAUCCUGGAACUUCUUUUGUGAGCUCACUCGACUUCUGCUCUUUCUGUUCAUUCUGGGCUUCUGUGCUGUCAUUGAUAUAGUUCUCAGUUUUCCACUGGUCCGUAUCCCAUUCUGCCUUGGACACCUUUACUUCUUGCUGCUCACUGAGAAGCUUCAUCAGGAGGCCUGUCCUGGAGAUGAGCUUGGCACAGGUCAAUUGCACAUGGGUCUCAGAGCAGUCCAUCUUCAAGGUCCGGAUAACAUGAGAAAUGAGCCUUCUCACAUUGUUGUUGGGGAUGAGGGAACGUGGCUGUUGGGUUAGCUGAAUUUCAAACUGAUCACCUGGGGACGAGAACAAUGGGUAAUUGAAGCUUUUGGGCUCGGGGGACAGGUCAGUGCCCACGUUGUUGUAUUCCCAUUUUGUCUCAGUUUGCUUAAUAGUUGGCCCUAAGUUGAAUGCAGUCCCAGCGGAAUCUGCCUCAGGAGGAUGAUUGUGGGUUGUGUUUUCAGAGAUGGUGCCUUAUGGCCUAGUAGUGUUUUCCAUAAAAAUGUUUUCUUCAAAGGCAUUUCUUGCAGUUGUGUUUUUUACAUUAGUGUUUUCUAUAAAACGUUCUGAAGGAGCAAAUACUUCUGGAAAAGGAUUUUCCUGAGGACUCGGGUCUCCUAAAGAUGAAAAAGCCCUUUGGGAAAGGGAAUUUAUGAGGCUCUUCACUGCAGAGAAUGGAGGCCUCUUUGCGAGCAUCAGUCUAAUGAGGUAAUUUUUCUUUCUGAACUUUGGACUCUUUUUGGCCUUGAGUGUUCUGUGGGCCAUGCGGGAGCAAGUUUUAUGAAAGCAGUAUUUUUUUCUGGAAUGUACGAUUGGUUUAGCAGCCUUCAUAUUUUUAACUCUAGCCUUUGCAUUUUCUAAAAUGAAAAUGGUGUAGGUUAAGUCUUUUGCUCUGUCUCUGACCUGAGGUAGGGCUUUUGCAGGGGUGGAGGCAGAAGGCACACCCAUGGAGAAGGGUUUCAGCACAGAGGAGACUGCGGCCUUAUGCUCUUGGAUGAAUGAAGGCUUGGUGUAGAUGGUGUUUCCCACUAACUUGUCAGGCCCCUGCUCUAUGUGAGGCUGUCUCAGCUCCCUUGGGGCUGGACUCCCGAGCCUUUUUUCUUUGGCAGCGUUCUCUGCAAAUGCCUGGGCACCCUGUUCCCUCCUGAUCCUCUGCUUUCCACCUCUUUGAAGUGCCUUUUCAAGAUGCUCCUUGGGCCCAUGAGGACUCUGUUCACUCUCUGCAGGUUUUUGCCUACACUUUGAAUCUUUGCCAGGCUGCUUUCCUGUGGUUAGAUAGUUUCUAAUUUCUUUUCAAAUAUUUGGCAUUUAAAUUUGUUACCUAGAAGGCUGGACUGCAUAAGCAUGGCAGUUUUUUCUUCCCUUUUAACUUCAUCAAUUUUUUCUUGUAUUUCUGCAUCUAACAUACUUUCCAGCAAAUACAGCUUUCUCAAUUUAUUUUCAUAAGUUGAGUUGUUGGAUGCAGGUUGAAGAGAGGGGCUCUUUGUAUUGUUAUUCAAAAUACCCAGGAGCCUAUCUCCAUCUUGCACAUUUGAAGAAAGCAGAUUAAUGAAGGGUAACAACAUUGAUUUCACAUCUAGAUUUACCGCUGAGAAAUAAAGCAAGAUGUAACUUAGUGCACUGAUAACAUCCCUCUCAUCAUUGGUGUCUAGCUGCCCACUCCCAAAGCCUGACAAAUUGAUGCCAUUGCUGUCUGAGGCUGCCUCCGGCUCAAUAGUCAGCUCAGUGCUCGUGUGCUUCUUCUGGGCUUGUAACACCUUCAUGAACACUCCUGGAUUCUCUACAGAUGCUUCUUCAGACAAUGUAUGGUGUUUGUCAGAAAUGCACUGCUGCAAUGCAGCUUGACUGUCUUGCAGACAGCCUCAGUGCUAUUUUUAAAUUGGCAGAGGCAGCAGGUCAUAUGGCUAGGUAAGAUCAGUUUCUCCAGUUCAACAGUCAUCACGAGAAUGUUCUCAAUUGUUGUAAGUGGGACUUGCAUUGUUCCCGUGUCUAGAUAUUUAAAUGCUGACAAUUUAAAGAGAUAUGGAUCUUCAACAGUUGUCAGAGGAUUGCGAUUGAGAAUUAACUUGUGUAAAAACUGCAUUCCAUGCCAGGCCUGAAAUGUUCCAAAGCUCAGUUCUGUGAGUAAAUUGCAACCAAGAUUUAUAAACUGCAAAAAUGGUAGUGGUUCAAAUGUAUGUCUUUCGAUAGACUGUAUUUUAUUGCAGGAUAAAUCUAAAUACUGGAGGGAUAGCAGGCCUUUAAAUGAAUCGUUAUGUAAUUCAGUCAAAUAAUUUUCAUUGAGAAUUAGUUUCCCGGUCCAACUGUAUGCUUUCCAUACAUUUCCAUCAAUGUAAGAAAUAUAGUUUCCUUGGAAAUUUAAGAUGGUGAAGGUGCCAUGGUAGGUGUUGGGCUCUGGCACAGGCACUUGGCAGAGCCUCUGUUUUGGGCUGAGAUCAAUACACGACAGCGUCUCACCUCCGCAGGUACAGAGCUCACAUAUGUUGGUGCUUGUGGAGGCCUACUGUUCCUCUGGUGCGGUUAAAGCCUUAUUUUGGGCGUAACUUUCAGACUGCACCAGUGAAUCCUGAGUAGGUUCUAGUUCAGUAGGUGGACCUGUGACUUCAGUCAGUUUUCGAUGCAGAGUCUGAACCUGGUCUGGAUGAGGAGCUGUAGUCUUCUCCAGGGCUGUAGAAUGUCCAGUCUCUGUAGUGGGCUCUGGAGUUAUGGCAAGCCCCAGGUCUGGAGGCUGAGUUGAGGUCUCCUCCGUGGUUGGAGACGGUUUAACCUCUGUAGUAGGUUCUGUAGUUAUGGUAAGCUCCAGGUCCAGAGGUGGAAGUGUGACUUGAGUCAGGUUUGAAUGCUGAGCCCGACCCUUGUCUGAAGGUGGAAGUGUCACCUCAGGGUGUUCUGGAGGAGGAGCUGUAGUCGUCAGGGCUGCAGAAGGUUCAAUCUCUGUUGUGGAUUCUGGAGUGGUGGUAAGCCCCAAAUCCAAAGGUUGAACUGUGGCUUGAGUCAGGUUUGAAUGCUGAGUCUGAACCUGGUCUGGAUGUGGAAGUGUCACCUUAGGGUGCUUUGGAGGAACUACAUUCUUCUUCAGGGGUGUAGAAUGUCCAACCUCCGUAGUGGGUUCUGGAGUGAUGGUAAGUCCCAGGUCCAAAGGUUGAACUGUAAUGCUGGGUGACAUUGGAUGCUGAGCCUGAUCCUGACCUGGUGUUGGAAUUGUAACCUCUUGAUAUACUGGAAGUUGGGGUACAACUUUCUUAGGAGGAUGAGUUGGGGUCUCCUGCAUGGUUGGAGAAAGUUCAACUUCUGUUGUGGAUUCUGGAGUGAUGGUAAGCCCCAGGUCCAAAGGUUGAACUGUGGCUUGAGUCAGGUUUGAAUGUUCCGGAGAUUGAGCUACAACUACAUUAGGGAGCUCUGGAGUCUCAGCUGGGGCCUCCUGCUGGGUUAGAGAAGACUUACCCUUCUCAGCAGUCUGUGGAUGCUCAGCUGCAGCUUCCUGCUGGGUUGGAGAGGGGUUCUCAUUAUUAAUAGGUUCCGGAGAUUGAACUGAAGUCUCCUGUUGAAUUGCUAAAGGUCCAGCAUCUUCCGGUGACUCUGGAGGAAGAGGUGGGCCCCCGUGCUGGAUAGUGGGAGGUUCUACAUCAUUACCUGGUCCUGAGAGCUGAGCUGUAGCCUCCUGGUGGACUGGAGAAGUUCCCACCUCUGCACUAGGCUCUGUUGCUAUGGUGAGCUGCAUGUCUGGAGGCUUAACAGAGACAUUGGGCAAAUCUGAAUGCUGAGUUUGAUGGUGACCUGGAGGUGAAACGGUGACUUCAUGAUGUUCUGGAGGCUGAGCUGGGGUCUCCUGCUGGGCUGGAGAAGAUUCAACCUCCCCAGAAGGCUGAGCUGGCUGCUCCUGCUCACUGGGGGAAAGUUCAGGCUCUACAGGAGGACCUGGAGGCUCAGUUGGGGCCUCCUCUUGGUUUGCAGGAGGUUCCAUCUCUUCUGGAGGCUGAGCUGGGGUCUCCUGCCGAGUCUGAGAAGAUUCAACCUCCCCAGAAGACUCAGAAGGCUGAGCUGGCUGCUCCUGCUCACUAAUGGAAAGUUCACGCUCCGUAGGAUGACAUGGAGGCUCGGUUGGGGCCUACUGUUGGGUUGCAGAAGGUUCCACCUCCUCUGGAAACUGAACUGGAGCCUCCUGCUGGGCUUGGGAAGAUUCUUUCUCAUUGGUAGGCUCCGAAGUUAUGGUAACCUCCACAUCUGCAGGUUUAACUGUAAUGUUGGGCAAGUUAUAAUGAGCUUGAUCCUCACCUGGAGGUUGAACUGUCACCUCAUGAUUUGGUAGAGUUUGAGCUAGACUCUCCAUAGAGGACUCUGGAGGCAGAGCUGGGGCCUCCUGCUGGGUUGAAGAAGGAGGUGUGGAAGCUGCUCUGGGGCUUCUUCCUGGAGUGAAGAGGACUGGAUAUCUUCAAGGGUCUCUGGAUUUUGAGUUUCAGGCUCUAGAUGGAAUUGAGAAAGUCCAACUUACUCAGGGGACCCUGGAGGCUCAUCUGAGUUCACCCGGAGUUCUGGAGGCAGGCUGCCAGGAUACUGUGUAUCCAUACUCGAAUAUUCAUCCUGCAAAGUCUGUUUCUAACGCUGUGGUUUGGAUAAUUGCUGUGGAAUUCCAACAAUAUCAGCAAUGCUCCAAUGCUGAGCUAGAUCUUUCUUCAGGUUCCUGGGUGAAACAAACAAUAAAUAAAUUUGGUUGGUUUUGAAACCUUACUGUCUAGUGGAACAAGUAUUUCAUCUGCCUGAUGACCUGCAGCCCCAUCUAGAUCUGCAGUUUGAACCUUACUUUUGAGGCGAGGAGGCUGAACUAGGGUCUGGUUCUGAUCCCUGUCCAGCAUUGGAACCACCUCUGGGAGCCUUUCUUGCAGAGUCAGCUUGUCAUUGAAAUCCUGGUGUGCAACUGAGAACUGCCCUGGCCCUAGGGGCAGCUCUCCAGCUGAAUCCGUGUCCAGGAAUGGAACCAAAUUUUCAGUUGAUUCCUGGGGUGGGGCUGACAUCUGCGAGGAAGCAGAGGGCCCCAGGUAAUCAAAGUCCCCCGGAUCUGCUGGGGCAAUAGGGGCAUGGGGAGAUUCCCAUGGGAGAUGGGAGGAGCGGAAGACCAGGGCUCAGGCGGCCCCCGGGGGUUAGAGGUCAGCUGGAGCAGAUCCUUGACCCACUCCAGAGGCUGAGCCUCCUUGACUAGUAGCCACAAUAGUUGCCACGUGAGCAGGGGCCAUAGGCCCCAGAAACACAGCCGGGACAUGACACAUGCUGGCACCGCGCAGUGAGCGAGAGCCAUUCUGGCAGCCCCGAAACGCUCGUG